CACUUUGUUUAAGUGAAUGUGCCUUUUGUCCAGCUCAGCCGCCUCGGAUCUCGCUGCCACCGGCCUUACUGCACACCCGUGCCACCCGCCCUUGCCCCGUCAGCCUCAGCCUCGGCUCAUUCUCUCAGGCAGUCCCAGCAUUGGCACAGUACCUCCUCCCACUGUGGGCCACACGUCUGUGCUCCCUGUCAACCCUACUGCCAUCAGCACCACCACCAGCGACUUGUCUGCCCAGGAGGAUGCAACACCAUCUACCUCCACCGGCCACCUUUCAGUGUCUCCUGCUUUCCAAGUAAAGACACCAGCAGUGCCCUCAGAGCAGACCAGCCAGAGAUUUUCUGAAGCCUCCCACAGGGUGCUCUCUGGAGGAGGCCUGAGAUGCUCUCGUGACUUUGGAGCCGGGGUGGCUGGCCACCUUGGCCUGGCCGGCCACCUUGGCCUGGCCGGCCACCUUGGCCUGGCCAUCUUUGGGGUGGGCUUCGGGAGCCCGGCACUGCUGCAGAGUGUGGUGGAUGAGAACAGCUGCUGCUUGCUGUACGUGGUGGAGGACCAGCUGUGUGACGUGGAGCGAGCCUUCAGAGCUGAGCAUUUGGCCAAUACCAGAGUGGUUCGGGAACAGGAUGCGGACAUCGUCCUCAACCACCAGCGGUACGGUUUCAGUUGUCAGCAGAGGUUCACUGAACACCUGCUGUGUGCCGGGCACUGUCCUGGGGGCUGGAGAAAUGGCUCUGAAUGCUGCAAAGUCCCCACACUUGUGCUGCUGAAUUGGGGGCAGAGGCAGAUGAGUAGAUCUCAAUACAUCAGUAGCAAUAAGCUCUGCGGAGGGAACUCACGCUGAGUCGGGAGAGGGAGGCUGGUGGAGUGCUGUUUUAGCGUCUCUGGAGUAGUUGUUUGCUGCCCACCAGAGGCAGCUUCUGAAAUCGUGAUGGACGCUCUCCGAGCAGCUACGCGCCGGGCUGGCUGAGGUGAUGUCUGCACCCGUGCCCACGUGUCUCAGGGGGAAUGGGCUUGCCUGCUUCGUUUCCUGACUCCUCUCCUAGGCGCUUUGAUCCGGCUUUCCAGUUCUUGCACAAGCAAGUUUGUGUCAGCCACGCCCUGGGGAGGAUCCACCGGAUCACCGCAGUCAGCAGCCUGUUCCCAGCGGCCUCUCUGGCUUCCCUAAAGAGGGCAGGUGGGAUUUUCUACAACGCUGCUGUGCACGACGUGGAUGCCGUAUGCAUGUUGCUGGGGAAGCCACUCCGGACACUGUGUUUUUUCUGGGACGUGGCUUCUGCCCAGUUUUCUUCUGCUUAGAUAUGGCCGCCUUAAAAGAUGCAGACGCUGUUGGGAUCAGCAUGAAGUUUCCCUGUGAGGCUGUAGUCAGCAUGGACGUCAGCCAGCACUGCACAGACAGCUGCGACCAGGACGUCAGCCAGCACUGCGCAGACAGCUGCGACCAGGACGUCAGCCAGCACUGCGCAGACAGCUGCGACCAGGACGUCAGCCAGCACUGCGCAGACAGCUGCGACCAGAGACUGGAGGUGACCACUGCCCUUUUCCACCCUUUGCCAGUCCACUGUGAAAAGCUGGGUUGAUUGUGCGGGUUAGAUAGAGGUCGUCAGCCGGGUUGAUUCCGCAGGUUAGAUAGAGGUCGUCAGCCGGGUUGAUUCCGCAGGUUAGAUAGAGGUCGUCAGCCGGGUUGAUUCCGCAGGUUAGAUAGAGGUCGUCAGCCGGGUUGAUUCCGCAGGUUAGAUAGAGGUCGUCAGCCGGGUUGAUUCCGCAGGUUAGAUAGAGGUCGUCAGCCAGGUUGAUCCUGCUGGUUAGAUAGAGGUCAUCACCCGGCCACCCCUAGUCGGAGCAUAUGCGGCACACCUUGUGCAUAGUCAGUGCUCAGUAAAUAUUUGUUUUAAUUUUCUGGUGAGAGCCACGUCUUCCAGGUUUUGAAGAGAGUUCGUUCUCUGGCCUCUGGGCCUCCAGGAGCUGUUUUGUGGCGGUAGCUUUCCUUUACGUUGGCUGUUGCUCUACAGAAGCCUGUGCUUCCUUGGCCGUUACAAGGAAAGCCGGUGUUGGUCACGGUGUGCCAUGGGAAGUGAUAAUGCCGGUUGUGGAAGGCCCGUGUCAUGUGUCGCCUGCCCACUCCACCCCCACCAACAAAACCCCCUCGUGGUGCUCAGUCAUCCCCUGCCGCUCCCCACUUCCUGUGAUCGGCCUGGUUAACCCCUGUCUUGCAGUGGCUCCCAGGUGGUUGGGUCCCAAGGCGUGCUGCCGAUGGAGAAUCAGAAUCCCUUGGGCAUUACUGGGCGGGGCAUGUCCCUGUCCCUCGGCUCCCAGACCAGGCUAGCUGCUACCAGGACUCCUAUCGAGAGCUCUUCAGACACUUUGUCAGAACCCUUAAAGGGAAAGAACCUCCUGAAAUCACCAAAGAGCAGUUCCUCAGGGCCUUCUGGGUGGCCGUGGCCGCGGAGCAGUCGUGGUGGAACCGGUCAGCUGUGGACCUGCCCUGUGAAUCGGCAGAGGGCUCUGUGGUGAAGACAGAAGCUCCAUGAACCAACCCGAGGCUGGAGCCAAGAUCCUGCCCGAUAUCCAGUUGCCUGUUUCACUUGUCGCUGUUACUGGGAGAGGGAGACAGAACCUCAUGGCGGUCUUGUCCUCACUGGAGACUCAGAAGGGGAAUCAUUGGGAAACCGUGUAUGUUUCACUUCUGGUGUAACCAGACUUUUCAGGAUGUGACUUCAGACCGAGGACACAAGUUGGGCUUGCUUAGCUGUUUUGUGUUGCAUGCAGGCCUCAGAGAUGCUCUUCCGGUCAGAGUUCCCUUGGCAGGGCCUCGGAGGCCUCUGGUUGGCUCUGUCAGGAAGAGGGCAGGUCAGGGAUUGGAUAGUGUAAAUUGACCCAGAAACCCGCAGUUUCAGCUUUUCUGUGGCAAAUGGGGCCGAGGGCUGGUGAAGCUGUUAAGACUAAAUGUCUCAUGCAUGAGGCAGGCUGCAGGCCUCCUUAGGCCUUUUUUGGGGUAAUUAUACCACUAUUUAAAAACAUUUUUUUUUGUUUGUUUUGAGACAGGGUCUUGCCCUGUCACCCAGGCUGGAGUGCAGUGGUAUGAUCUCGGCUCACUGCAACCUCCGCCUCCCGGGUUCAAGCGAUUCUUCUGCCUCAGACUUCUGAGUAGCUGGGAUUACAGGCAUGCGCCACCAUGCUCGGCUAAUUUUUGUACUUUUAGUAGAGACGGGGUUUCACCAUGUUGUCCAGGCUGGUCUCGAACUGCUGACCUCGUGAUCCACCUGCCACGGCCUCCCAAAGUGCUGGGAUUACAGGCGUGAGCUACCAUGCUCGGCCUAAAAAACAAUUUUCUUGAAGAAUCUGAUUUUGUGCAUAGUAAUGAUACAACACCAUUCCUGAGAAAAAGGAAAUAUAUGUGUGUGGUAUGAAAAGCCCAUAUUCUGUUCUUGCCGCCUGAAUCUAGGCUUCCUCUUUGGAUGUGAACACGGGAAUGAACAGUGGCUGUUUUCCACCCAACGGGGUGUGGAGAUCUUUUGGAAAUGGGCUUUCUCCUUUCCAUUUUGCAGCUGGGGGCGGAUGGAAACCUUCCUUCGAAGGGUAGUGACUUGGGGAGCAGCAGACCGGCUCCGAGUCCAGCUUAGCUUUCCAAAAUUCUGUGUGAAACCUACUGAAGAUGUUCUUAGAUAUUUGAAAAUAAUGGCCUGUAUUUCUCAUGCUAUACUUAAAAAAAUAACUAACCUUUUAAACAAAGAUAUUCAAACUCA